rnacentral:lncRNA from 1 species
GGUUCCGGUGGGCAGUGGACUCGGCACAGGGAAACAGCCCCUGGGGGCAGAGCAUCCGGUCAGACAGACUAGCUGUGGCCUGAGCCUCCUUGGGCCUCUUCAAAAGGGGGAGGUGCUUCUCCAGGUGUGGUUCUGCAGGGGAGGUGCUUCUCCAGAAGCCAGAACCUUCCAGAAGUUCAAAGGUGAACCACCCCAUCAGAGAGCCCUGCUGUCCAGCUCCGCCAAGUUCAGGGGCCUGCCCAGGACUCCCAUCCACCUCGGGGCCCGUGUUCUGCGCAGAGCACCACGGCAAGUUAAAAGUUUUAUUGAUUGAACACAAUUGAGUGUAAGUAGUAAAAGUUCUCCUGAUGUAACCCACUUUUUCUUAAUGGGUAAUCUCAGACACUCGAGUUUGUAUGGUAAAGGAGGUUUAGGACAAUUUAAUAGCUCAUAAAAUUUUAUAGUCCCAGUUGAAAUCAGAGUGCUAACUCCGGCCCGUUCAGCUAUAGAGCUGUCGUUUGCUAAAUGCCUCUCAUCUGUUUUUUUCCCCCAUUUAUUGGAAAGUUAACAUCUGCUUUGCUAUGGUCGGCGGGGGGAGG